rnacentral:rRNA from 1 species
CGCUGGCGGCGUGCCUAACACAUGCAAGUCGAGCGAGAAAGCAGCUUCGGCUGUGAGUAAAGCGGCGCACGGGUGAGUAACACGUGGGCAAUCUUCCGUUGGGAUUGGGAUAACCUGCCGAAAGGCGGGCUAAUACCGGAUACGUUCCUUGGGGCUUCGGCUUUGAGGAAGAAACAAUGCUCGCAAGGGUGUUGCCCGACGAUGAGCCUGCGUCCCAUCAGGUAGUUGGUGAGGUAACGGCUCAUCAAGCCAAGGACGGGUAGCUGGUCUGAGAGGAUGAUCAGCCACACUGGAACUGAGACACGGUCCAGACUCCUACGGGAGGCAGCAGUGGGGAAUUUUGGUCAAUGGGCGCAAGCCUGAACCAGCAACGCCGCGUGGGUGAUGAAGGCCUUCGGGUUGUAAAGCCCUGUCGGACGGGACGAAAGAACGGCGUAACGAACCGGAAUGACGGU